rnacentral:rRNA from 1 species
AGUGAACGCUGGCGGUAGGCCUAACACAUGCAAGUCGAACGGCAGCACAGUAAGAGCUUGCUCUUACGGGUGGCGAGUGACGGACGGGUGAGGAAUACAUCGGAAUCUACUUUUUCGUGGGGGAUAACGUAGGGAAACUUACGCUAAUACCGCAUACGACCUACGGGUGAAAGCAGUGGAUCUUCGGACCUUGCGCGAUUGAAUGAGCCGAUGUCGGAUUAGCUAGUUGGCGGGGUAAAGGCCCACCAAGGCGACGAUCCGUAGCUGGUCUGAGAGGAUGAUCAGCCACACUGGAACUGAGACACGGUCCAGACUCCUACGGGAGGCAGCAGUGGGGAAUAUUGGACAAUGGGCGCAAGCCUGAUCCAGCCAUACCGCGUGAGUGAAGAAGGCCUUCGGGUUGUAAAGCCCUUUUGUUGGGAAAGAAAAGCAGCAGGUUAAUACCCCGCUGUUCUGACGGUACCCAAAGAAUAAGCGCCGGCUAACUUCGUG